rnacentral:rRNA from 1 species
CGAAUGGUCGCAAGACAAUGGCAGACGGGUGAGUAAUGUAUAGGAAUCUACCCUUCAAUGGACCAUAGCUCAUCGAAAGAUGGGGUAAUAGUCCAUAGUCCAGGUGCCGUAUGGUACCUGGUAAAGAUCUUAACUGAUCGUUGAAGGAGGAGCCUAUAUCCUAUCAGCUAGUUGGCGGGGUAAAAGCCCACCAAGGCGAUGACGGGUAGCUGGACUGAGAGGUCGGUCAGCCACAACUGCACUGAGAUACGGGCAGUACACCUACGGGUGGCAGCAACUAGGAAUAUUGCGCAAUGGACGAAAGUCUGACGCAGCGACGCCGCGUGGAGGAUGAAGGCCUAUGGGUCGUAAACUCCUUUUGAUAGUCCAUUCACGGACUAUAGAAUAAGCACUUACUAACUACGUGCCAGCAGUCGCGGUAAUACGCAGGGUGCAAGCGUUAUCCGGAUUCAUUGGGCGUAAAGUGUGCGUAGGCUCCUUAAAAAGUCGCGUCUUAAAUACUGAGGCUUAACCUUAGGCAUGGAUGCGAUACUAUUAGGGUUGAGGAUUGACAGGGAUGCUGGAACAGCUAGAGUAGCAGUGAAAUGCGUUGAUAUUAGCUGGAACACCAAAGGCGAAGGCAAGCAUCUAGGUUUUUCCCUGACGCUGAGGCACGAAAGCUAGGGUAGCGAAACAGAUUAGAUACCUGUGUAGUCCUAGCUGUAAACUAUGUUCGCUAGCUCUCACUUGCAGAGGAUAUAAGUAAAAAGUCAAAGGUCAAAAGGCAAAAGUUCAAUUCAAAGUAAAAAGCUUUUUAAAUUUUGAAUUUUAACUUGUAAUUUUGACUUUUAAAUUUUGAUUUUUGAAUUUGUAUUCUGUGCUAGUGGGGGCGCAGUUAACACGUUAGCGAACCGCCUGGGGAGUACGGCCGCAGGCUAAACUC